UAUUAUACUAACAAAUAAAACUAACCUGAAUUAUUAAUAGAUAUAUUCUUUAAAUUUGAAGAAUUUGGCGGUAAUUUAGUCUUGUUAGAGGAACCUGUUUUUGAAUCGAUACACCACGUGGAAUCUUACUCAUUUUAUUUAGUCUAUAUACCGUCAUUAUCAGAUAAUUUUUGAAAAAUUAAUUGUUAAAGUUUAAAGUAAAAUUAAGGUAAAUUAGAUCAAGGUGUAGCUUAUAAGUGAGUUAAAAUGGGUUACAAUAAAAUUUAUUUAUACGGAGUGGUUGUUGGAAGGACACCAUAAAGGGGGAUUUAAUUGUAGUGUAAAUUUAAUAAGUUUUAAAGAUAUAAUGAGCUCUAAAUUAU
rnacentral:rRNA from 2 species